GACGAACGCUGGCGGCGUGCUUAACACAUGCAAGUCGAACGGAAAGGCCCUGCUUUUGUGGGGUGCUCGAGUGGCGAACGGGUGAGUAACACGUGAGUAACCUGCCCUUGACUUUGGGAUAACUUCAGGAAACUGGGGCUAAUACCGGAUAGGAGCUCCUGCUGCAUGGUGGGGGUUGGAAAGUUUCGGCGGUUGGGGAUGGACUCGCGGCUUAUCAGCUUGUUGGUGGGGUAGUGGCUUACCAAGGCUUUGACGGGUAGCCGGCCUGAGAGGGUGACCGGCCACAUUGGGACUGAGAUACGGCCCAGACUCCUACGGGAGGCAGCAGUGGGGAAUAUUGCACAAUGGGCGGAAGCCUGAUGCAGCAACGCCGCGUGCGGGAUGACGGCCUUCGGGUGUAAACCGCUUUCGCCUGUGACGAAGCGUGAGUGACGGUAAUGGGUAAAGAAGCACCGGCUAACUACGCG
rnacentral:rRNA from 1 species